rnacentral:rRNA from 1 species
AUUGAACGCUGGCGGCAUGCUUUACACAUGCAAGUCGAACGGCAGCGCGGGCUUCGGUCUGGCGGCGAGUGGCGAACGGGUGGGUAAUACAUCGGAACGUGCCCAGGCGUGGGGGAUAGCUCGGCGAAAGCCGGAUUAAUACCGCAUACGACCUGAGGGUGAGAGCGGGGGAUCUUCGGACCUCUCGCUGUUGGAGCGGCCGAUGGCGGAUUAGCUAGUUGGUGGGGUAAAGGCCUACCAAGGCGACGAUCGGUAGCUGGUCUGAGAGGACGACCAGCCACACUGGGACUGAGACACGGCCCAGACUCCUACGGGAGGCAGCAGUGGUGAAUGUUGGACAAUGGGCGAAAGCCUGAUCCAGCAAUGCCGCGUGUGUGAUGAAGGCCUUCGGGUUGUAAAGCACUUUUGGCUGGAACGAAAAGGACUGCGCCAAUACCGCGGUUCGAUGACGGUACCCGCAGAAUAAGCACCGGCUAACUACGUG